rnacentral:ncRNA from 2 species
AGAGUUAAACAGUACGUGAAAUUGUUGAAAGGGAAACGAUUGAAGUCAGUCAUACCAACGGGAAAUCAACCUUUUGAGUUUGGUCUUGUGGGUUUCGGAGAGUUUUAAAAGCCUUUGGAUUCGUUAGGAUUGGGCUCUUUUGGUGUACUUUCUCGUACGGUUAGUCAACAUCGGUUUUGAAUGUCAUAAAAUGACUUGGAGGAAUGUGGCUUCGAUCUCGUAUCGAAGUGUUAUAGCCUUUGGUAGAUGUGAUGUUCGAGUCCGAGGAUUGCAACGGAUACCCUUCUGGGCUAUUCGUCUGAUCUCUGAUACGUUGCCUUGAUGUCGAAAGCUUGCUUAUGAUGUUAGGGUAUUACGGUCAAAAGGUUAGAACGGAUUAAAUUCGUUAAGGAUGUUGACGUAAUGACUUUAAACGACC